UACGAGGGGUGCAAACGUUAUUCGGAAUCACUGGGCGUAAAGGGUGCGUAGACGGCAAGAUAAGUCAAUUAUUAAAUCUCCCAGCUUAACUGGGAACAUGUGAUUGAAACUGACUUGCUUGAGGAUGGAAGAGAGAAGUGGAAUUCUCGGAGUAGCGGUAAAAUGCGUAGAUCUCGAGAGGAACACCGAUGGCGAAGGCAGCUUCUUGGUCCAUUUCUGACGUUGAGGCACGAAAGCGUGGGGAGCAAACAGG
rnacentral:rRNA from 1 species